CUGUCGGUACCUUACCUGUCGCUUCUGCCUUAUCUGUCGCUUUGGGGUCCUAGCUGCGUUGCCCUGGUAACAACUGUAAACAAAAGGCUGCGGUUAACUGCUCCGCUCCCUGACAGGAUUUUUCGUUCAUUCGUGCCAAUGAAACAGGAGGCCUCGAUUCAUGCAGAAGAUAAGGUUUGAAACCCAGACAGCACGAAGCAUCUUGCCGACGUCAAAAUCAGAUCAACAGACAGGGACAUCAGCCUUCUCUUGGGAAUAGGCCAGAUAUGCCAUAACAAGAAAUGGUGUUUUGCCCCUGCGGUUGUGAAGAGGAUGCUGUGGAGGUGGCAGCAUGAACGUGUCACACAGACAUUGGCUAAACAACUCGAUGACAUUUCCAGCAUGUCCAACUCAUCAGCAUCAGGGGAGAUUCGGUGAAGGUGGUGCACCAUCCAGGACCAGUCAUGGGUCACCAACACCUCUGCAAAAUCUACACUUCUUGUGAACCCUGUAGAAGACACUACAACCACAAAACUGCUAAUAAACCAUCACAUACUGCAUCACA